GCAAACGGGUGAGUAAUGCUUCGGAAUCUGCCCAAUGGUGGGGAAUAACCAGCCGAAAGGUUGGCUAAUACCGCAUAAGCCCUAUGGGGGAAAGCGGGGGAUCGCAGACCUCGCGCCGAUGAUGAGCCGAAUCGGAUAGCUAGUUGUAGGGUAUCGGCUACCAAGGCGACGAGUCCGUAGCUGGUCUGAGAGACGACAGCCACCUUUGGGCACUGGAGCCACGGGUACAACUCAAACGGGAGGCGCAGUGUGGGAAUAUUGGACAAUGGGGGAAACCCUGAUCCAGCGGACGCCGCUGUGUGUGAACGAAGGCCUGCGGGUUGUAAAGCACUUGUCUAGUGGGGAUCGCAAAAUGCUCGAGGGCUAACACCUCUGGGUCUUGACCUAUAUCCCGACAGAAUAAAGCACCGGCUAAGCUCUGUGCCAGC
rnacentral:rRNA from 1 species